GAUGACAAAUAAAGACAUGGAUGGGAUUUCCUGAGCUCCCCUGAAUGUUGGUCUGUGAGUCUUUUCAGCUCCUUUCAGUUGCUGGAUGAAGCCUCUUUGAUGACAAUUUCUAGGCUCCUGUCUACGAGUAUUUUUAUUCUAAGAAUCUUACCUAGGAAUGUAUCACUAAAGACAAAUCCUUGCAGGCACACGAAUGGGAACAGAACACUGAAGGAAAUCUUGCAGCUGUUGCUCAUCCUCAUGAUGAGCCUGGAAGAGAAGGUGAUGUCAGCUGAAGUGUGCACAGCUGGAGACGCACUGUGCAUGCGCCUUUGAAAUAGUCGAAAUCAUCAUGAGCAUGACUGGAAGAAAAAGCUGGAUAAAAAAGAAUUUCAAUGAAGACCAUUGUGGACAGACUACUCCAACAUUGCUAGGCGGCACAGAAAUUUGAACCUGAGGGCAGGUCAGGAACCACUAGGUUAGAGAGGGGAAGGAGAGAGAACAGAGGGACUGCAAUGCUUUGCGGGCAGGUCAACCUGGACUGUAUAAGAAAACAGGCUGAGCAAGAAGAGGAGACAAACAGGUACUCUCAGAGGUUAGAAGACAACGUUGAAUGCCCUGAAGGUAGACUUAUAGGCACUUCUGAUGGAUCUGCCUGCUAUGACUGCUGAAAACUCUGGCCCUCUAAGAGCAGCAAGCACCCUUCACUAUGGAGGCAUGAAGUGGAAGUUACUGGUUGUGUCAUGUGACACAGUCUCACAUGAUGUUUUGCUGAUGUAAGACCAGUGAGAGGACAUGUGAUGUUUGGAGAGAGUAUAAAUAGGACCCAACAGAUAGUGACUUCAUGCUUGCAUUCCUUGCCAUAUUUUAUUGGUCAUUUUUCUUCCCUGAUCUUCACUUCCUUGAGAGAGGCACAAAAGAAAACUUCUCCUGGAGUCCCAGCUGGUUCUGGUCACUCCUGCUAACUCCUGAUUUGGCAGAGGCCUGGCUGUCUUUUCUGGAUCACGUCACUGCUGCUGAGUUUUUGGUACCUGACACUACUGAACUGGGCAGCUGGUAUCCCGAGGAAUGGAGAUUGGAAUCACCACAAAGAACUACUUCUAAACAGAAUGUUGAUGAAAUCAUUGAUAUAUUUGAUAUUGGGGAUAAUUGUUGAUAUCUGUGAUUUUCCCUUAAAAUACAUAUGCCAUUACCAGACUGCUUACAAUAUCAGUUCUCUGAAGAAGACAGGAGGACUGAAGCUAGUUCAAGGUUCAUGAUUUCACUCCAGUAGAUUCUGCCAGUUGAAGUCAAGUCUUGAUAGAUUUCCACUACUGUUUCUGCCCUGAAUGAAGUUAAGAGCUUGUUGAAAGUAGAUAUGAGUUUAAAACACGUAUCACAACAAUGGCAUUUCUAUUCCAGUUCUCCAUUGUGUAUGUUCAAGUGGUCCUUGCUGUUUAAACU
rnacentral:lncRNA from 1 species